rnacentral:tRNA from 1 species
AGACACUUGUUUUUGCAAACGUAUAAUUACGUUUUCUACACCAAAACCCUUUAAAUCCCUGUUAGGACCCCA